AGAUUCACAGCCUCUACCUGCAGCAGAACCAAAUUGAGAAGAUCGAGAAUUUGGAGUCUUUUCCCAACCUGAGGUUCCUCUGCCUGGCUGGGAACCGCAUCCAGAGGGUGGAAAACCUGCAGGCCCUGCCCCACCUGAGCGCCCUGGACCUGUCCCACAACCAGAUCCGGGCUCUGGACGCAGAGGAGCUGCCCCGCAGCCUCCGGAUCCUCGACCUGACCGGGAACGAGUGCAGCCGGCAGGACGGAUACAGGUGGGGCAGGAGGGGGAGAACAACCCCCCAAAAACCGGGAGAAGCCUCGGGGUGACCAAAUUGUGGCCUUUCAGUACCUCCAAGAGAGCUGGGAAAGGGACUUUGGAGAAGGGAUGGAGUGACAGGACAAGGGGAUGUGGAUUCCCCUACUGGGAAG